rnacentral:rRNA from 1 species
UGGGGAAUAUUGCGCAAUGGGGGGAACCCUGACGCAGCCAUGCCGCGUGAAUGAAGAAGGCCUUAGGGUUGUAAAGUUCUUUCGGUAUUGAGGAAGGUUGAUGUGUUAAUAGCACAUCAAAUUGACGUUAAAUACAGAAGAAGCACCGGCUAACUCCGUGCCAGCAGCCGCGGUAAUACGGAGGGUGCGAGCGUUAAUCGGAAUAACUGGGCGUAAAGGGCACGCAGGCGGUUAUUUAAGUGAGGUGUGAAAGCCCCGGGCUUAACCUGGGAAUUGCAUUUCAGACUGGGUAACUAGAGUACUUUAGGGAGGGGUAGAAUUCCACGUGUAGCGGUGAAAUGCGUAGAGAUGUGGAGGAAUACCGAAGGCGAAGGCAGCCCCUUGGGAAUGUACUGACGCUCAUGUGCGAAAGCGUGGGGAGCAAACAGGAUUAGAUACCCUGGUAGUCCACGCUGUAAACGCUGUCGAUUUGGGGGUUGGGGUUUAACUCUGGCGCCCGUAGCUAACGUGAUAAAUCGACCGCCUGGGGGAGUACGGCCGCAAGGUUA